AUAGCUAGUUACCCGACUUGUGGCAAAUGGCUGCAUAAGUAGACAGUGAGCAAGUUACAACAGAAGAAUCAUCAGAAGAGCAACAGGACACCUCUCAAUGUGUUGGAGCGUUUGUUUCCUGACUCAUCCUCUUGUGACAAGUAGAAGAAAAAAGUGUGGAUAAGGGAGGCAGAAUAGCUUAGACGAUAGUGCACUGGAAUGAGACUUAGGAAAUCUGGACUUCAUUCCCAGCUCUGCCACUGGCUUGUUGGUGACCUUGGGAACUCUUCCAGAUAUUGGGUUAUCUUCCUGAUGCCACUGUUGGGUCCUGAUCAGAGGACAAACAGAAGUCAGUUUCUGAAUGAAAAGACAGGAGGGAAAUGAAUGGGAGUACACUACAGUAGUAAAGGGACUCCUCACUGCUUCUGUAGUACAAGGUUUCCAGUUUGAGGGGCUCACUGCACAGCCGAGAGGCUGACACCGCUGCUGGUUCCUGCAGCAUCAUCAACACCA